rnacentral:rRNA from 1 species
AUUGAACGCUGGCGGCAUGCCUUACACAUGCAAGUCGAACGGCAGCAUGGAGAGCUUGCUCUCUGAUGGCGAGUGGCGAACGGGUGAGUAAUGCAUCGGAACGUACCGUGUAAUGGGGGAUAACGUAGCGAAAGUUACGCUAAUACCGCAUACGACCUGAGGGUGAAAGCAGGGGAUCGCAAGACCUUGCGUUAUACGAGCGGCCGAUGUCAGAUUAGCUAGUUGGUGAGGGAAAGGCUCACCAAGGCGACGAUCUGUAGCGGGUCUGAGAGGAUGAUCCGCCGCACUGGGACUGAGACACGGCCCAGACUCCUACGGGAGGCAGCAGUGGGGAAUUUUGGACAAUGGGGGCAACCCUGAUCCAGCCAUGCCGCGUGAGUGAAGAAGGCCUUCGGGUUGUAAAGCUCUUUCGGCCGGGAAGAAAUCGCACAGGCUAAUACUCUGUGUGGAUGACGGUACCGGCAUAAGAAGCACCGGCUAACUACGUGCUAGCAGCCGCCGUAA